UGGGGUUCGGUUUGACAUUCAAAAGGCAAAUAACUGACAAAACUUGGUCAAUAAAUGGAAGCCAAGCGUGUGGUCCUUUGUAUGUCAAACACAAAGGCGUUAGCAGAAUCAAGAAUCAAGUGGCACCGUGAUGCAAACAGUC